rnacentral:rRNA from 1 species
AAUCAACGCUGGCGGCGUGCCUAACACAUGCAAGUCGCACGAGAAAGGGUAGCAAUACCUGAGUAAAGUGGCGCACGGGUGAGUAACACGUGAAUUAUCUACCUCCGAGUGGGGAAUAACCUAGAGAAAUCUGGGCUAAUACCGCAUAACACUUACGAGUCAAAGCAGCAAUGCGCUUGGAGAGGAGUUCGCGGCAGAUUAGCUAGUUGGCGGGGUAAUGGCCCACCAAGGCGAUGAUCGGUCGCUGGUCUGAGAGGAUGAUCAGCCACACGGGGAC